CCCACUCACUUCAGAAACCACUUUAUUAAAGUUAAAAUCAGAUUUACAGAAGUAUAAAACAAUGGACAGAGGUGCAGGGGCUUUCCAUACAACAGGGGGCAAAUUACCUACCUGUGGUUCUCAGAGCAAUUUUUCUUCACUUCAACAAUGCCUAAUCUUUUUUUUAAUCCUAGGAAAAAUCUCAGCAGCUGUAUUUUCUCAUGAUUUAGCAGCUAAAGAAAAUGCUCACAUUCCAAAAAUAAAAGGGGUGGAUCUGAGAGACAAGAUCCUAAAUAUAAAAUGUAACUGCCAAGCUCUGCUCUUCUGUUCCAGUCCUUUACACUUGGGGCCUGGGGUAAGAGGAAAGGUCAGCAUGCAAACUGUCUUGGAGCUAGAGAAGAAUUUAGGGAAAAUUUCUAUUAAGAGUUUGGAAUGGUUUAUGGAUACUCAUAGCCAGGUACUGCAUAUCAACAUCAUACCCAAAGAAAGAGUGUAGAUUCUGGAAUUAGCUUACCUGGGUCCAAAUAUUGGUCCCAGAUCAUAGGUAGGCAAACUCAGCACAAGUUAAGUUAGUUAGCUUCUCUACUUUUCUUAGAAAAUGAGUUUUAGUAAUAGUACCUACCUCAAAGAAGAGAUAUGAGUAAAGAAAUAUAUGUAAAGAGUUUAACACAAUACCUGGCACAAAGUAUUUAAUAAAUGUUAAACACACAAACGAAGACACUUUCAUAAAGAAUUUAUUAUGCUAAGUUAACAUAGUAGUUAUCAGAGUAAAUUAUUGAUGAGAAAAUGGAAUUAGCCUUUUUAUAUCAUAUCUUGAUUCUCUAAACCAGAAUGCUAUCUGUAUUGUAUGAACAAAGGACAUAAACUGUGCAUGCUAGUCCCUCUGUAUUCCAGGGCCUGGCACAAUACCUAUCACACAGGAACAUAAUAAAUGUAAUAAUAUUUUUUAAUAAUCCACAAAACUAAUAUAAGUAGGUAUUAACAGAAAUCAUUUAAAACCCUUAAUUUAUUCUUGAUUCUAUCUAAUGCAAAUGUAAUGCUGAAU
rnacentral:lncRNA from 1 species